GUUAUACAUUUUUUUUUUCUUUUUUACAGAGAAGUUUGUUAUUUGUUGAUUUUGCAUUUUUUAUAAUAGUAUCACAAGAUAUGCUGUUCCAAUGUGUCUAACAUCCAAAAGGCUACUACUGGUAAUGCACCGAGUAAACGCUCUCGUGUGCAAACUACUGAUCAACCAUGCCCAAAUGGAUCCAGUUCUACUUCAGGUAGUGCAAUGAGUAAACGCUCUCGUGUGCAAACUACUAAUCAGUCAUGCGAAAAUUCUGUAGAAGAUGGACUCAAUUCUGCUAUUAUUGGUUUGACUAUUUCAAUUAGUUUUAAAUAUUUUCAUGUAAUAUGGUAGAGAACAAUCGGUGACAAAACCAUAUGUAUUUUCCUCGUAAUAAGCAAUCAAUUGUAACAAAAAAGAAUUUCCUCGCUA